GCUAAGCCCUGAACAUUGAUAGUUACUAAUACAAUACUUUCCGCCAGAGAACUACAAGUGAAAAACUUGAAACUCAAAGGACUUGACGGUGUCCCACAUCGACCUAGAGGAGCCUGUCCUAUAACCGAUAAUCCCCGUUCCACCCAACCUCAACUAGCAAAAUAUCAGCCUAUAUACCGCCGUCGACAGUUUACCCUAUGAAGGCUCAAUAGUAGACACAAUAGCCUUUAACGCUAAUACGUCAGGUCAAGGUGUAGCAUAUGUUGAGGAAAAGAUUGGCUACAUUUUUUAUGAUAAAAAACACGAAUUGCACUAUGAAACACUGCAUGAAGGUGAAUUUAGCAGUAAAACAGAUAAGAGUGUCUGUUUUAACAACGCUCUGGGACGCGU
rnacentral:rRNA from 1 species